CGACCUAUACCCGGCCGUCG
rnacentral:snRNA from 1 species